rnacentral:rRNA from 1 species
UACGGAGGGUGCGAGCGUUGUCCGGAAUCACUGGGCGUAAAGAGCGCGCAGGCGGUCGUUCAAGUCGCGUGUGAAAGCCCCCGGCUCAACUGGGGAGGGUCACGCGAUACUGAUCGACUCGAAGGCAGGAGAGGGUAGUGGAAUUCCCGGUGUAGUGGUGAAAUGCGUAGAUAUCGGGAGGAACACCAGUGGCGAAGGCGACUACCUGGCCUGUUCUUGACGCUGAGGCGCGAAAGCUAGGGGAGCAAACGGG